rnacentral:rRNA from 1 species
AUUGAACGCUGGCGGCAGGCCUAACACAUGCAAGUCGAGCGGAUGAAGAGAGCUUGCUCUCUGAUUCAGCGGCGGACGGGUGAGUAAUGCCUAGGAAUCUGCCUGGUAGUGGGGGACAACGUUUCGAAAGGAACGCUAAUACCGCAUACGUCCUACGGGAGAAAGUGGGGGAUCUUCGGACCUCACGCUAUCAGAUGAGCCUAGGUACGAUUAGCUAGUUGGUGGGGUAAAGGCUCACCAAGGCGACGAUCGUUAACUGGUCUGAGAGGUUGAUCAGUCAAGCUGGAACUGAGACACGGUCCAGACUCCUACGGGAGGCAGCAGUGGGGAAUAUUGGACAAUGGGCGAAAGCCUGAUCCAGCCAUGCCGCGUGUGUGAAGAAGGUCUUCGGAUUGUAAAGCACUUUAAGUUGGGAGGAAGGGCAGUAAGUUAAUACCUUGCUGUUUUGACGUUACCGACAGAAUAAGCACCGGCUAACUUCGUGCCAGCCGCCGCGGUAAAAC